GGGGCCAGGAAGAGAAGCCACCACCACCACCGUGGAUCAGAUGAGCUCAUAAAAAUGUGGCCCUGAAGCCUGGCCAGUGGAUUUAAGAGGAGCCCAGAGAAACACAGUAAGUAAUAACUCAGAGUUAUCGAUAGGAAAGUAGAUUCUAAUAGCACAGAGGGUAGAUAUCUGCCCGGCUCUUGUGCUGUUUAAGGCUUAUUGUAAAUAAUGAAAGCUGUGUGGGUCUUUUAACCAGGAACUGAAUGAUCAAAGCAGGGUAGAAACCAAAGUAACAUAUUUAAAAUGUCAGCAAUACUCAGUCUGACCGGAAUACAUCCCUGUUAAGCCACCACCUUUUUUUUUUCCCUCCCUAUUCAAACCCACUAACCAAAAGCAAGCUUUCAGAAGUCGUUUCAGUUCCUCCCUGUCAGAAGCUGCAGCCCGCCCCCGCCCUACUCUCCUAAGCAGUCUCUGUUCUUCCCCAUUCCCACCCAGGCACGCAUACAGAAUCCCCUGAGCCAGGCUCUGUUCUCAGCCAGCACCACAGCUCACACCAAAGUACAAAAGAACAGUGGUCACAACAUGCCCCAGCCCCGGGAAAUUCAGAAAUCACAGGUCUCUGUGCAGUCACAUUUACAGGAGCUGUGGGGUAGCCUGGGAUACAGGCCAUUGCACUCGUACAUCCGUGACUAUGGAAAAUUGUCAAUUGUUUAAAAUGUGCAUCUUUUAGGCAUGUAUCUGAGACUUGUUCCUUC
rnacentral:lncRNA from 1 species